GGAGAAGUUCCCCAUAGUUAUCAUUCUGCUCUGCAUUUCACUUGCUGCCAUUUGGUCUACAGAAACCACCCACUGAACAUUUGCCUUUGAAGUGCACCACCUUCUCCUAAGUAGCAUGAGUGACUUCUUGGGUCUCUCUCAAUUUGCCACAGACAGCUUCUGAAAUCUACAAACUGAGACGCAACAUUGUGCUGAAUUUUGAGCCUGCAUUUUAUUACUUCCAAGAAGGUGCAAAGAAUAACAAUAAACACCUACCUGCACUUGGAAGCUGACAAAGAGAAUGUGCUCAAAGGCUCUCUCACCUCAAUUUCAAAUCACAACUGGAUGCCUCUGAGGUUACAUGAGCUGCC
rnacentral:lncRNA from 1 species